UACGUAGGGCGCAAGCGUUAUCCGGAAUUAUUGGGCGUAAAGAGCUCGUAGGCGGUUUGUCGCGUCUGCCGUGAAAGUCCGGGGCUCAACUCCGGAUCUGCGGUGGGUACGGGCAGACUAGAGUGAUGUAGGGGAGACUGGAAUUCCUGGUGUAGCGGUGAAAUGCGCAGAUAUCAGCAGGAACACCGAUGGCGAAGGCAGGUCUCUGGGCAUUAACUGACGCUGAGGAGCGAAAGCAUGGGGAGCGAACAGG
rnacentral:rRNA from 1 species